GGACCCGCACAAGCAGUGGAGCAUGUGGUUUAAUUCGAUGAUACGCGAGGAACCUUACCAGGGCUUAAAUGUAGUGGGACAGGUCUAGAGAUAGACCCUUCUUCGGACUCAUUACAAGGUGCUGCAUGGUUGUCGUCAGCUCGUGCCGUGAGGUGUCAGGUUAAGUCCUAUAACGAGCGCAACCCCUAUCGUUAGUUGCCAGCGAGUAAUGUCGGGAACUCUAACGAAACUGCCAGUGCAAACUGUGAGGAAGGUGGGGAUGACGUCAAAUCAUCACGGCCCUUACGUCCUGGGCUACACACGUGCUACAAUGGCCGGUACAGAGAGCAGCCACUUCGCAAGAAGGAGCGAAUCUAUUAAAACCGAUCUCAGUUCGGAUCGCAGUCUGCAACUCGACUGCGUG
rnacentral:rRNA from 1 species